rnacentral:rRNA from 1 species
AACGAACGCUGGCGGCAGGCUUACACAUGCAAGUCGAACGCAGUGGCAGACGGGUGAGUAACGCGUGGGAAUCUACCUAGUUCUACGGAACAACAAGGGAAAUUCUGCUAAUACCGUAUAGAAUUAGAUGAGCCCGCGUAAGAUUAGCUAGUUGGUGAGGUAAUGGCUACCAAGGCGACGAUCUUUAGCUGGUCUGAGAGGAUGAUCAGCCACAUGGGACUGAGACACGGCCCAGACUCCUACGGGAGGCAGCAGUGGGGAAUAUUGGACAAGGGGCGCAAGCCUGAUCCAGCCAUGCCGCGUGAGUGAUGAAGGCCUUAGGGUUGUAAAGCUCUUUCAGUAGGGAAGCGGUACCUACAGAAGAAGCCCCGGCUAACUUCGUGCCAGCAGCCGCGGUAAUAC